rnacentral:lncRNA from 1 species
GGCUCAUCCAAGCCAAAUGGCCGGUGGCAAUGCUAUUUAAACAGCACUCUACCAUUCAAACCUUACCUCUAACGAGAGGCAAAGCAGUGAGGUCUUAUUCUAAAAGUGCAUGUGUAAGUGGUUUUGCUUGAUCCAGCGUUUAGGUCUGAGACCUCCAGCUUACCAACCGCCUUCCACUUUGCAGCCCUCUCAGAGGCAGCGGAGACUCCAGGGCCCUGAGAUUCUGAUCCUGCACUCCUCCUAUCACGUGACCUCGGCUCCUUAAAAGAGGACACUUGCUCUUAAUUUUCUUGUCUACAAAACUGGGGCAGCAAUAGGAAGGCCAGUCUCCUUCACUGAGGGAUUCCGGGUAAAAUGAAAUGACUGCCUCAUUACCUUGCAGUGACAACUCUGCAAAUGGAGUACUGUCUUUGAACAGAAGGUCAGCAGCAGCAGAGUGUGCUGUCUGUGCUUGUCUGUGACAAGAAAAGACCAUGCCAGUCAAGUCUUGGUCGUUAUGUAGUGGAGAGUGUUGCCAUUGGCCCCUAUCCUACGCCUCACCACCUCCUGCAGGCUGCUGACUCCACGCCCUUGUGACUUGGUCACAGGACUUUCCUGGCCAGGGUACUUGGUCUACAGGCAAGGUACAGUCGGGUGCUGGGAGCCAGUGCAUCCCCCUGCUAUCAGCAAUCCUCCAACAAUAAGCCCUCAUUGGGUAGUGAAUGCUCCAGCUGCCUUGCCUAUGGGGGUGGGCAGCUCUGAGACGUAGGGUCUGUGUGGCCUCCCACAGGGGCCCAGUGUCUUGCGUGGUGUUGCCCAUAGCAGGAACCUACUCAUGCACUACCUCUGGGCCUCUUCCCCUUCUCCUCUCCUUCCUACUCCACUUCAGGGCCCCCUGGCUUCAUCUCCCAAAUGCACUCUGGAUUGACUUCUUGGGGAGCCCAAUCUAUGAUGGAAAUAUUACAGAUAUUGGCCAAGGAACACUUUGUUCCUCAGCGUCUCAUGCACCCUCACUCUGCUCACAGCUUGCUGCUUCCUUUUAGAUUUCAUGUCUCUCUGCCAUUUCCCACAGUCCUUGCUGCCCACAGCCCCAUCAGGCCGAGUUGAAUAUUCAUGCAUGAAAAUUUGACCAACUCGGCUCUUCAUGCGCUACUGUCACAGCAUCAGCCCGGGCACUGUAGAUUCUCAGAGUGGGAUGUCGAGUGGGACGUGUCCUGUUGUCUUGAAUUAGCAGCCAGUACCCAGAGUGAGGACCAAGGGGGUGAGGUAGCCCUUGGUCUCAGGAGCACUGCCUGUCAUAGGGGUGGAUACUACUCCUCGGGGCUUCAGAGCGGGUCCUGCACCCACCUGAGUCUCUUGUGUUGAUCAGGGUGUAGUGGAGGGCUGGAGGCUGGACAGCACCUGCCCUCCCAACUUGACUUGUCACAGUACUGUGUCUGCAAAGGCCAUCUAUGUGGAGCCACACCUCCCGGGACCUUCUGCUUCACUCUGCCCCGGUGCCACCUUUUUGACCCCAGGCUGUGUCCUCUGGUGCCACCUCCCCUCCUUCUUCCACCUCACCUGUUGGGGCCACCUUACCUAUUCACAGCACGGUCACCUUUCCCAGUAACUCUGGUUGGGUCGUUAAACUCGCCCGCCCUCUGGCCGUUGAGUCCUGGUGCCCUCUGAUCAGGCCCAUCCCGGAGGAGCCCUGCUGUUUUGGUCUCCGGACUCAGGCCUGGCAAUCCCAGGGGCAAAGGCCCAACCCCAGGCAUAGAUCAGACCCCUCAUGCCUCAGCCCCAGUCCCCAGCCAGUCUCCCACAGCCUGGCUGCCUCAUCGCCUUGCUCUGGGGCUGGUCCUCCACGCUCCAUGGUGGUUAUUUUUACCCUCACCCCCGCCCACAACCUCGCGCUCCGCCAGCCUUUCUGGAGUGUGCUCACAGAGCAUGCGCUGAAGAGGGAGCAAGGAAGGUGGCGAACGCAGGAGGGGCAGCCGUGUCCAGUGCUGCACUGUGUCCGGUGGCAGAGGCCUGUGCCAGUGGGAAGCUCCCUCCACCAUCUGGGAUGGAGUCAUUGCUUUACAGCAGUCAUAGCUGCUGUCAUGAAAGAUGAAGCUGGUCUCCAGGACACUAGGAGGUUGCAAAGAGCCACAUGAGUUUAUUGGAUAUGACAGAAUUUCUCCAAGUGGGGAAGCUAAAUUAAGCAAAUGAGUCUUGCACCGUCACCCAGGCUGGCGUGCAAUGGUGCCAUCUCGGCUCACUGCAACUUCCGUCUCCCAGGUUCACGCGAUUCUCCUGUCUCAGCCUCCCGAGUAGCUGUGAUUACAGGCGCGCACUACCACAUCCGGCUAAUUCUUUGUACUUUUAGUAGAGACAGGGUUUCGCUCUGUUGGCCACACUGGUCUGGAACUACUGACCUCAUGAUCUGCCCGCUUCGGCCUCCCAAAGUGCUGGGAUUACAGGCAUGAACCACCAUGCCCGGCCAGAAAACCCUAUUGUUAACGGGAAAGUAAUAUUGUAACGAUAUCUGUUCUCCCAAAAUUAAAAUACAAA